rnacentral:sRNA from 1 species
UUGACCAUCCAAACCUCUCCUCUUCCCAUUUCAUCCUCUCCAAGACCACAGACCCAAGACCAAUCUUC